rnacentral:rRNA from 1 species
AUGAACGCUGGCGGUAUGCUUAACACAUGCAAGUCGAACGGUCACUUCGGUGAUAGUGGCGGACGGGUGAGUAACGCGUGAGAAUCUGUCUUCAGGUCGGGGACAACAGUUAGAAAUGACUGCUAAUACCGGAUGUGCCUUUGGGUGAAAGAUUUAUUGCCUGAAAAAGAGCUCGCGUCAGAUUAGCUAGUAGGUGGUGUAAGAGACUACCUAGGCUCCGAUCUGUAGCUGGUCUGAGAGGACGAUCAGCCACACUGGAACUGAGACACGGUCCAGACUCCUACGGGAGGCAGCAGUGGGGAAUUUUCCGCAAUGGGCGAAAGCCUGACGGAGCAAUACCGCGUGAGGGACGAAGGCUUUUGGGUCGUAAACCUCUUUUCUCAAGGAAGAUGAUGACAGUACUUGAGGAAUAAGCAUCGGCUAACUCUGUG